rnacentral:lncRNA from 1 species
GGGGGCCAGGCCACUCCAGCAAUGUUUUAAAUGCUGCCCCCAGAGGCCAGGGACUGGGCCUGCCUCCGCUUCUGGCUCCGCUUCUGGGUCUCCCUCUGCGGCCACGGCAGGAAGAGGCCGAGGGGCAGCGAGGACCUGUCCGGUUGUCCCCACGAUGAGUCCCCAGUGACGACGUGACACAGGAGGGGCUGAUAGCAGCAGGGCUGCCCAGAGUCACCCCAGUUUCUGCUGCUGCCUCAGAUUCAGGCUGGGGCCACCCAGUCGGACCCCAGGCCCCCGCACCUGACCCUGCCCACCCCGAGGACAGGGUUUUGCUUUGCGUGGAAAUCCAGGCAGGUAGAAAGCCUGCGGGGGAAGGGGACAGCCCACCUCUGAGCCCCGAAGCCCUGCUGGUGGGGGAGGGGAGGCCCGGGAGCCCUUACGUUCUCUGCUCCUGCGGGCCGACCCCCACAUCCUCUGUGCCCCAGGAGCAGCAACCCUCCAAAGGGCAGCUCCAGCCCCAGCCCGCAGCCUCCAGGAGCAGGACUGACCACCUUGUCUGCUGGGCUGCAGCAACAAAGUCCCACGAAGAAGGGAACCUAAACAGCCCUACCGACUAUCCCCCGUCCUGGAGGCUGGCGUCCGAGCCCCAGGGGUGAGCAGGGCUGGUCCCUCCCGAGGCCUCUCUCCUGGGCGUGUAGACGGCCAUCUGCUCCCUGUGUCCUCAGAGGGCCAUCCCUCUGUGUGUGUCUGGGUCCCGACCUCCUCUUCCUCUAAGGACCCCAGUCCCGUGGGGCUAGGGCCCCACCCAGGGACCUCUUCUUGAUCAUCUGUAAAGACUGUUCCGAAUAAGGCCGCGCUCGCAGGAACGGGGGCGAGGACUCUGACACUUUUGGGGGACACCUGUCCCUAACACAGGACAAGGGAGAUGGACUCCGUGUAGCCCUGGCCUCCAGACCAAGCGACGCUUCGGUCUCCGGGGGAAGCCAGACCCGUCAGAGGAUGCUCCCAGGGCUUGUGCACCUCGGGGUAGGGGGGGGAUUACGUGGAAUUCUUCCUCUUGUCUCACAGUGGCUCCAGGCAGAGGCACCAGGAUGCCAAGCGUGCAGCGCCGACAGCGCCAUGCCAGCUGGUCAAAUGAUUAUUAUGUUUGAGGGCUAUCACGACGCAGCCGCGGCUCUGUUCAGAAAAGACAUGGCUGUGAGCCAGUAUAAUACCGAGACCUGGCAUAUAUACAGGUGCCACCCAGGUGCAAGCACCUGGUGCUGGUGCCCAAUGCACAUGCAGGUGUGUGCUGAGCCCUGGCUUGAUGGAGAGCUCCCCCCAGGACGCGACCAGGGAGACAGAACCCCUUCCACCUGUCACUCAAGUCCCAGAGUCCCGACACGCAGCUUCCCAGGCCCCUGGCAAGGAGCUUCAGAAAGAAGGAUGGUGUCACCAGCAGCGCAGCCCUCCUCGCCCCUGCAUUAGGCUGGGGACUGGCCCAGUCCGUCAGUGGCCCCAAUAUCAAACCUGGGAAUCUCUGGCCAAUGGGUAGUCCUUCCCCCCACCUCUGAGGGCCACGGCCAGCCAGGGAGGUGUUCACAGGUGUCUGUCCCUUCCGUUCUGCCCCGCCACGUGGAAGGGAAGGAGACGGCAUAUUAGGGGCUAAGAGAAGACGCCUGCACCCACCUGGUCAAGCCUGUGGUCAGGCCCUCCACUCUGAACUCUCCCAGAGCUCACCCAGUACAAGAAGGCAGAGGGGAGAGCACGGCCCCUCUGCCCAGAGAGCUGCGAUGGCCUCCUGGACUCCAGGCCCCAGAGCCAGAGCCCUUCGGGACUGGCAGGUGGGGAAGUGGCCCUAGAGUGUUCCCACCCCAGGUUUGGUCAGGCAGCUGUGUUCUCCUUCGAGAGGAAAAGGACCAAGGACUUGUCUCCUGGAGGCAGAGGAGAGGAAGACCCUGAGGUGGUGGAGAAGGGAGGGCGGCAGCCACCUCUGAGACGGCCCCGUGGCCUCCCGGCUGCUUAGGGAUGCCGGCUGCUGUGUUGUGUGGAUGCUCAAGCAGCCGGUGGAGCAGUCCACCCGGUGAGGUGCCGUGGCUCCUGGAAGCAGUUCCUCCAGCCCCAGCCGAGCCUUCGGAUGAGGCAGCUCCAGCCAACACCUCAAUGACCACCUCCUGAGAGACCCUAAGCCAGGGCCACUGCUCUAAGCCAGAGCUGCUCCCCACUUCCUAACCCUCAGAAACUGGGUGACAUCAUGAAGGUUUACGGCUGCUUUUAGGCACUAAGUCUGAGGGGUGAUUUGUCUCAAGGCACUAGGUCGCCGAUACACCAACCAGGCUUACAGCCUCAGGAUCAAGGGGCGACGUCGGGAGGCUGGGAGGCCAUAGCAAGCUCAGAUGACAGCCCAGGAUCCUAGCCAGGAGGUGGGCACCAACACCCACGGUCACCAGUGGAAGCUAGAGUUUAAAAAGAUGGGCCUAAAGCAGGGCAAAAUGGCCCAAGAGACAGAGAGCAGUGGCUGGGCCAUCUGGUCCCUCCUUUACUGCCUGCUGGCAUGGGGGAGGCUGGUGAGUGGGCCAGGACUUGGGUGUCAGCCCCGGUUUAAUUCUCCCUCCCACACCAAGAUACAUUUUACAGCCAGCUCUUACCAAGAUGCUGGCUCACUCCAGCUGGGUACCUGAAAACAAAUCCCGUUUCCCAGAGUUGAAAACGGAGACUAACAUGCCCCCCAGUGUUCACGGCAGCUCCUAUACCACAGCCAAGACGUGCAAACACCCUAAAUGCCCAUCGACAGAGGAGUGGAUUGAGAAGCUGUGGUCCAUAUACACGAUGGAAUAUUACUCAGCCAUUAAAAGGAAAGAAAUAAUGGCCUUUGCGGCAACGUGAAUGGACCUAGAAAUGACCACGCUAAGGGAAGCCAGUCAGACAGUGAGACACCAGCCUCCAAGGCUCUCACUGACAUGUGGCAUCUAAAAAAAGGACACAGUGAACUUUUUGCAGAACAGAUACUGACUCACAGACUUUGAAAAACGUAUGGUUUCCAAAGGAGACAGGUUGGGGGGUGGGGAGAUGCACUGGGGGUUUGGGAUGGACAGGCUAUAAAAUUGGGUUGUGAUGAUCAUUGUACAUCUCUAAAUGUAAUAAAAUUCACUGAGUAAAAAAAAAAAAAAGAAAAAGAAAACAGAGCAGAACAGUUAAAUAAAUGUCUCGAAGUCAAAGGCAGAGAACCCCCGGCCCCGCCACCGCCCAGUGUUCCUGGUGGGUGGGGCACAGUGGAAGGGCAGCUGGGUUGGGGGGAAGCAAACCACCUCCCCCCUGCCCCGGGCACAUGGUUCCCUGGCUCUACGGGGCCUUGGCCACACCCGCUUGGCCUCAGUGUCUCCCAUAUGUAGCUCCCAUGAUAGAGCAACCUGGUCAUCCCGAGGCACCACCUCCUUAGCAUCUGGAUCCAGGUAUCCACGCUAAGCAAGAAGGAACAGCUGACUGAAUGCAAGGAAACGGGUUAACCAAACCGGGGAGGCAGAGGAUUUGGGGUCCCAGCUCAUCCUGGAGGCUCGAGCAGCCUUGCAGAGACAGUCUUGGGUGGCCGCGAUGCUGAGGCGGUUAGCAGCAGCAGGCAGCUCCUUCGGCGGCGUUCCCAGCCCUCCGCAUACCUCCGCCUGGCGAAACCGGAUCCCGCAGGACAGGUAAGCCUUCAGAUGCCUGUAAUUCCUCGGCUAAUGCUUCGCUUAAUUAAGACAUUGACUCUCACGGCAUUCUCACCGAUUACUUGAAGAAAUGGCAGGUCUGUAAGAUGAUAUUUCCUGGUGAGCGAGGAUAUCAGGAUGAAAUCUCCAAGUCAUCAUUUCAACACAGGAAGUUAUCCGCUACCUGGGGCAGCGCGGGCCCUGCCGCACAAUUGGCCCGCUGUUCCGAGCGUUAUUUAAGAGGCCGAGGCCUCCACGGUGCCCAGCAGUCAGUGAGGGGGGGAAGGAUCCAUUGAGUCUGUUCGCUCUGCCUAUGGGCCUUCUCGAUGUUGGGUUUGCUUUGAUGCAGAGAAGUAAGCCCUCUACAUUUGAACUCGUGGCUUUAUCUUUUCCAGACUUAUGACACGCCUUCCAGUCGGCUGAAAAAAAAAAAAAAAAAAAAAAA